UACGUAGGUGGCAAGCGUUGUCCGGAUUAUUGGGUUUAAAGGGUGCGUAGGCGGUUCUAUAAGUCAGUGGUUGAAAUCCGGCAGCUCAACUGUCGAUGUGCCAUUGAUACUGCAGAACUUGAGUACAGACGAGGUAGGCGGAAUUGACGGUGUAGCGGUGAAAUGCUUAGAGUAUCGAUCAGAACACCGAUAGCGAAGGCAGCUUACUAGACUGUAACUGACGCUGAUGCACGAAAGUGUGGGAUCAAACAGG
rnacentral:rRNA from 1 species